UACGGAGGGUGCAAGCGUUAUCCGGAUUCACUGGGUUUAAAGGGUGCGUAGGCGGGCAGGUAAGUCAGUGGUGAAAUCUUUGGGCUUAACCCGAAAACUGCCAUUGAUACUAUCUGUCUUGAAUAUUGUGGAGGUUUGCGGAAUAUGUCAUGUAGCGGUGAAAUGCUUAGAUAUGACAUAGAACACCUAUUGCGAAGGCAGCAAACUACGCAUAUAUUGACGCUGAGGCACGAAAGCGUGGGGAUCAAACAGG
rnacentral:rRNA from 1 species